GACGAACGCUGGCGGCGUGCUUAACACAUGCAAGUCGAACGAAGAGCGACGGAAGCUUGCUUCUAUCAAUCUUAGUGGCGAACGGGUGAGUAACGCGUAAUCAACCUGCCCUUCAGAGGGGGACAACAGAUGGAAACGACUGCUAAUACCGCAUACGAUCUAAUCUCGGCAUCGAGGAUAGAUGAAAGGUGGCCUCUACAUGUAAGCUAUCACUGAAGGAGGGGAUUGCGUCUGAUUAGCUAGUUGGAGGGGUAACGGCCCACCAAGGCGAUGAUCAGUAGCCGGUCUGAGAGGAUGAACGGCCACAUUGGGACUGAGACACGGCCCAGACUCCUACGGGAGGCAGCAGUGGGGAAUCUUCCGCAAUGGACGAAAGUCUGACGGAGCAACGCCGCGUGAGUGAUGACGGCCUUCGGGUUGUAAAGCUCUGUUAAUCGGGACGAAAGGCCUUCUUGCAAAUA
rnacentral:rRNA from 1 species